UGGGGAAUAUUGGACAAUGGGCGAGAGCCUGAUCCAGCCAUGCCGCGUGUGUGAAGAAGGUCUUCGGAUUGUAAAGCACUUUAAGUUGGGAGGAAGGGUUGUAGAUUAAUACUCUGCAAUUUUGACGUUACCGACAGAAUAAGCACCGGCUAACUCUGUGCCAGCAGCCGCGGUAAUACAGAGGGUGCAAGCGUUAAUCGGAAUUACUGGGCGUAAAGCGCGCGUAGGUGGUUAGUUAAGUUGGAUGUGAAAUCCCCGGGCUCAACCUGGGAACUGCAUUCAAAACUGACUGACUAGAGUAUGGUAGAGGGUGGUGGAAUUUCCUGUGUAGCGGUGAAAUGCGUAGAUAUAGGAAGGAACACCAGUGGCGAAGGCGACCACCUGGACUGAUACUGACACUGAGGUGCGAAAGCGUGGGGAGCAAACAGGAUUAGAUACCCCGGUAGUCCCUGAGCGGGCUGGCAAGGCGCAU
rnacentral:rRNA from 1 species